rnacentral:tRNA from 1 species
ACAUAUUUAGUUUAAUUUUAAAAUUGGAGUUUGUCGUGCUUCGGAUGUUUAUUUUUAUUAAACAGUAUGUU